AUUGAACGCUGGCGGCAUGCUUUACACAUGCAAGUCGAACGGCAGCGCGGGCUUCGGCCUGGCGGCGAGUGGCGAACGGGUGAGUAAUGCAUCGGAACGUGCCCAGUAGUGGGGGAUAGCCCGGCGAAAGCCGGAUUAAUACCGCAUACGACCUGAGGGUGAAAGCGGGGGACCGAAAGGCCUCGCGCUAUUGGAGCGGCCGAUGUCGGAUUAGCUAGUUGGUGGGGUAAAGGCUUACCAAGGCGACGAUCCGUAGCUGGUCUGAGAGGACGACCAGCCACACUGGGACUGAGACACGGCCCAGGAUCCUACGGGAGGCAGCAGUUGGGAAUUUUUGAAAAUGGGGGCAACCCUGAUCCAGCCAUGCCGCGUGCGGGAAGAAGGCCUUCGGGUUGUAAACCGCUUUUGUUCGGGAAGAAAUCCUCUGGGCUAAUACCCCGGGGGGAUGACGGUACCGGAAGAAUAAGCACCGGCUAACUACGUG
rnacentral:rRNA from 1 species